rnacentral:rRNA from 1 species
AGAAUCUUGCCCAAUGGGCGCAAGCCUGAGGCAGCCACGCCGCGUGGGGGAUGAAGGUCUUCGGAUUGUAAACUCCUUUCAGCAGUGAAGAAGCGAAAGUGACGGUAAAUGCCGAAGAAGGUCCGGCCAACUACGUGCCAGCAGCCGCGGUAAUACGUAGGGACCAAGCGUUGUCCGGAAUCAUUGGGCGUAAAGCGCACGUAGGCGGUCCGUUAAGUCGGAUGUGAAAUCCCUGGGCUCAACCCAGGAACUGCAUCCGAUACUGGCGGACUUGAGGAAGGUAGAGGAGAGUGGAAUUCCCGGUGUAGCGGUGGAAUGCGCAGAUAUCGGGAGGAACACCAGUUGCGAAGGCGGCUCUCUGGGCCUUUCCUGACGCUGAGGUGCGAAAGCGUGGGUAGCCAAC